ACCGUUUUGCUUAUCUUCCGUUUCUGAUUUUGCAACGCUUCAGGUUUGCUGCUUUUCUUUCUUCCACCCUUUCGCUCUUCUCAAGUUCUUAUUUUCUCUACUUAUCUGCUUCACAACCUGAGAUGGAUCCCCGUGCAAAGCGGUUCAAACCACGGAGGUUGCAGGGCCCGUCGACAGGAACACAGAGGCUGGGGAGCUCCGAUCUUCAAUGCGGCUAAGCAGCUCCAUCUUCAAUCCGAUAAAUUCAAACAUAGGACAGCCUGGAACCUCAAAAAAUUCAACACGAAGGUCAAAUGAUGGUGAAGCAGCUUUGGUUUUAAUUUAUGUCCAUGCAUUGUGUAAUUUGAGCAACAACCUUAUGAAAUUCUCCUCUAGGAAAAGUUUGUUUCCUUAACAUUUUUUAGGUUGGUUAUCAUUUAGUUUUUGGAUUUUUGAAAUGGUGUUGCUACUACUAUAAACAUGGUAUCUUUAGUCCAUAAUAUACUGUGUUUUGGUUGUC